rnacentral:rRNA from 1 species
UACGGGAGGCAGCAGUGGGGAAGUAUUGCACAAUGGGCGAAAGCCUGAUGCAGCUAUGCCGCGUGUAUGAAGAAGGCCUUAGGGUUGUAAAGUACUUUCAUCGGGGAGGAAAAACAAAACUAAUAAUUUUAUUUCUUGACGUUACCCGAAAAAGAAGCACCGGCUAACUCCGUGCCAGCAGCCGCGGUAAUACGGAGGGUGCUAGCGUUAAUCAGAAUUACUGGGCGUAAAGAGCACGUAGGUGGUUUUUUAAGUCAGAUGUGAAAUCCCUGGGCUUAACCUAGGAACUGCAUUUUGAAACUGAAAUACUAGAGUAUCGUAGAGGGAGGUAGAAUUCUAGGUGUAGCGGUGAAAUGCGUAGAUAUCUGGAGGAAUACCUGUGGCGAAAGCGGCCUCCUAAACGAAUACUGACACUGAGGGUGCGAAAGCGUGGGGAGCAAACAGGGAUUAGAUACC